GAUGAAGAACGCAGCGAAAUGCGAUAAGUAAUGUGAAUUGCAGAAUUCAGUGAAUCAUCGAAUCUUUGAACUCACAUUGCGCCCCUUGGUAUCCCGAGGGGCAUGCCUGUUCGAGCGUCAUUUCACCACUCAAGCCUGGCUUGGUGUUGGGCGACGUCCUCUUUGGGGACGCGCCUCGAAACGCUCGGCGGCGUGGCACCGGCUUUAAGCGUAGCAGAAUCUUUCGCUUUGGAAGUCGGGGCCCCGUCUGCCGGAAGACCUGCUCGCAAGGUUGACCUCGGAUCAGGCAGGGAUACCCGCUGAACUUAAGCAUAUCAAUAAGCGGAGGA
rnacentral:misc_RNA from 1 species